rnacentral:rRNA from 1 species
GGUGAACGCUGGCGGCGUGCUUAAGACAUGCAAGUCGAACGGCAGUCUUCGGACUGUAGUGGCGCACGGGUGAGUAACGCGUAACUGACCUACCCCAAAGUCGCGGAUAACGAUUCGAAAGAAUCGCUAAUACGUGAUGUGCUGUCAGAUUGUGUUCUGCCAGUAAAGGUUGAUUGCUUUGGGAUGGGGUUGCGUUCCAUCAGCUAGUUGGUGGGGUAAAGGCCCACCAAGGCGACGACGGAUAGCCGGCCUGAGAGGGUGGCCGGCCACAGGUGAACUGAGACACGGGUACCACUCCUACGGGAGGCAGCAGUUAGGAAUCUUCCACAAUGGGCGAAAGCCUGAUGGAGCGACGCCGCGUGAGGGAUGAAGGUCUUCGGAUCGUAAACCUCUGAAUCAGGGACGAAAGACACUUCGGUGGGAUGACGGUACCUGAGUAAUAGCACCGGCUAACUCCGUGCCAGCCGCCGCGGUAAUAC